rnacentral:rRNA from 1 species
GGAAUUGACGGGGGCCCGCACAAGCGGAGGAGCAUGUGGUUUAAUUCGAUGAUACGCAGGAACCUUACCUGGGCUCGAACGUAAGAUGACUGUAGGUGAAAAGCUUUACAUCUCUUCGGAGCAUUUUACGAGGUGCUGCAUGGUUGUCGUCAGCUCGUGCCGUGAGGUGUCGGGUUAAGUCCCAUAACGAGCGCAACCCUACCUUUAGUUGCCAUCAGGUAAUGCUGGGGACUCUAAAGGAACUGCCUACGCAAGUAGUGAGGAAGGCGGGGAUGACGUCAAAUCAGCACGGCCCUUACGUCCAGGGCUACACACGUGCUACAAUGGCCGAUACAGAGGGCAGCUACCUGGUGACAGGAUGCAAAUCUCCAAAGUCGGUCUCAGUUCGGAUCGGAGUCUGCAACCCGACUCCGUGAAGUUGGAUUCGCUAGUAAUCGCGCAUCAGCCAUGGCGCGGUGAAUACGUUCCCGGGCCUU